CACAACCAUACUUCACUCCACAAUUGGUUUUACGAGAUUACGCAUCUCGAAUACACCAAGGAUGGUUGACUGGAAUGUAGACCGCCAAGGCUGGGAAAAAAAGAUCAGGACUACGAGCACGAGUCUGUGAAGUGAUAUGCGAGAGGAAAAACAAAAAAUCAAGGAAUAUUUGGAGGGUAAGUUUAGAUAGUUGCCAAUGCUGGCUAGUGCAAAUUCCAAUUUGUGAACACAUUGCUAACCUUUAACCUUGCUGACACAGAACGGUGCUAUGUUCCAUUGCUGAGGGAUACCAACAACAGCUUCCAGCCUGUGAUUGGCUUGCCAUGGUCUCCAAGCCCAUUGGAGGUGUAUUUUAAUUCGCUGGGAUCUGCAGUGGUCGGGAGUCCCAUAGAGCCAAUCAUGACUGUGAAAGCUUUUGUGGGACCACUCAGUCCUUCUACACCAUCAUUUGAAAUCAUAUUCAUUCUCAAUAACUUGGAGUAUUGGUAUUACAAUUUACCCCUAAUGGUGAAGGUACAUAAGGCUGUCAGAAUUUAGAUAUGAUUUCAUUGUUUUAGCACUAUCCACAGAGUUUUUAAACUGUGGCACGCAACAAUAAAUCAGCACAAUUUACUUUUUGGUUUGCUGGCGUCUUUCAGCUGACAUUGGGAUCAUGUAUACAGUGCCAAUUUUGAUUUAAAAAAAGAGUAAUGUACAAUACAGCGAACUUAGCUAACAAGGCUUUUGUGGAAAGUGCAUGGAGGCCGCCAUCUUUAUGCACCUCCACUAUUCUAUGUCUCUAAAUGUUACAAGCCAGUAACUGUUUGUCUUCCAGGCAGAUGAGUUCCACAGACUAUGGAGAACUCCACCCAGGGAUCGAGCAGAGUAUUUCCACCGUAUUCUCAAAUCUGACCCUGUGUGGGGAGGGAGAUUGCACAUGAUAUGGCGCAUCCUUGGGGAGAGUACUGGGACUUCCUGGAUAGCUUCAUUGACCUGUCUACAGAGGAGGGACUGAGGAGGUUGGAGGAGUAUCUGGAUAGGAAGGACCAGACUGAGCAUCCCCUAGAAGGAUAUGAGAAGACAGGGGACUGGUGCUGGAUUUAAAACAUCAACCCCCUCCAAAGAGGAGCAGAACCAGAGCCAUGUCCUGAUCAACAACACCCUGAAUGACAGAAUGUCUCCAUCACAAAGGAGAAAAGUUCCCAGUCUCCUGUGUGUAAACUCCUGCCAGAGUUUGAGAAAUCUAGCCUAAAGGAUGGCUCUGUCCAAGUGGAGGACCAGGAGGAGGUAAAGAGUGUUGAAGGCCGUCUGGCUCCCUCUGUACCCAGGAAAGAGGUCCUGGACCUGGGGAAUGACAGUUUCUGGAGGACCUGGGAGGGGAGUCCAGUGAAGAGGCAGGUGGAGGAGCUCUCCAACCCCAGCUCAGAGGAGUAUCUGACAGCAGACGAGGGCUCAGACUCUUGAGUGCCCAGGUAGUCCCCGAGACAGGAGAAGAGAAAGUAGAGGCUCAGGAUCCUCUUGCACAUCUUACAAAACCAUGAAGGGAGACGCUUUGAAAGAAACAAUUCUGACAACCGACACCCCUACAAAACGAAGACAGGUACUGUUCAUGGACAGGGAAUCUCCCACCAAGUUAGACAGUGAGGUCCUGUCUGCAAUGAAUAACAUGGAGAUUGACCCUGAGAGAAACCCCUGCAUUACUAAGUGGAGGAACACCAUUAUGGCCUAUCCCUCUUCACAUUGGCUAAGUCCGGCCAAGGCCGACAAGGAGGAAAAGCUUGACUGGGAAACCAAACUGUUCUCCCAGCAGGCUCAGCCAAGGCCCCCACACUCCUGCUCAGAGCUGUUGCACCCAGACCAUCCUCUGCAGGACCCUCUUCCGCUCCCC